rnacentral:rRNA from 1 species
UACAGGGGGGGCAAGCGUUGUUCGGAAUUACUGGGCGUAAAGGGUCUGUGGGUGGCCAACUAAGUCAGACGUGAAAUCCCUCAGCUUAACUGGGGAACUGCGUCUGAUACUGGAUGGCUUGAGUGUGGGAGAGGAAUGCGGAAUUCCAGGUGUAGCGGUGAAAUGCGUAGAUAUCUGGAGGAACACCGGUGGCGAAGGCGGCAUUCUAGACCAUAACUGACACUGAGAGACGAAAGCCAGGGGAGCAAACGGG